rnacentral:rRNA from 1 species
UACGGAGGGUGCGAGCGUUGUCCGGAAUCACUGGGCGUAAAGGGCGCGUAGGCGGCUUCUCAAGCGUGUGGUGAAAGUCCGGGGCUCAACCCCGGAUCGGCCGUGCGGACUGGGGGGCUCGAGUUCUGUAGAGGCGGGUGGAAUUCCGGGUGUAGCGGUGGAAUGCGUAGAGAUCCGGAAGAACACCGGUGGCGAAGGCGGCCCGCUGGGCAGAGACUGACGCUGAGGCGCGACAGCGUGGGGAGCAAACAGG